AUUGAACGCUGGCGGCAGGCCUAACACAUGCAAGUCGAACGAGUGGCGGACGGGUGAGUAAUGUAUGGGAACCUGCCGGAUGGAGGGGGAUAACUCUUGGAAAGGGUAGCUAAUACCGCAUAAUAUAAGAUGGGCCCAUAUGGGAUUAGCUGGUUGGGGGGGUAACGGCCCACCAAGGCGACGAUCCCUAGCGGGUGUGAGAGGAUGACCAGCCACACUGGAAUUGAUACCCGGCCCAGACUCCUACGUGAGGCAGCAUUGGGUAAUUUUGCACAAUGGGCGCAAGCCUGAUCCAGCCAGGCCGCGUGUAUGAAGAAGGCCUUCGGGUUGUAAAGUACUUUCAGCGGGGAGGCGUUACCCGCAGAAGAAGCACCGGCUAACUCCGUGCCAGCAGCCGCGGUAAUUC
rnacentral:rRNA from 1 species